rnacentral:rRNA from 1 species
UACGUAGGGUGCGAGCGUUGUCCGGAAUUAUUGGGCGUAAAGGGCUCGUAGGCGGUUUGUCGCGUCGGGAGUGAAAACACCGGGCUUAACUCGGUGCUUGCUUUCGAUACGGGCAGACUAGAGGCAUGCAGGGGAGAACGGAAUUCCUGGUGCAGCGGUGAAAUGCGCAGAUAUCAGGAGGAACACCGGUGGCGAAGGCGGUCUGCUGGGCAGUAGCUGACACUGAGGCGCGACAGCGUGGGGAGCAAACAGG